rnacentral:rRNA from 1 species
UACGUAGGCAGCAAGCGUUGUUCGGAGUUACUGGGCGUAAAGAGUGCGUAGGCGGUGCUCCAAGUCUGUUGUGAAAUCUCCCGGCUUAACUGGGAGGGUGCGGUGGAAACUGGGGUGCUUGAGUAUGGGAGAGGUAAGCGGAAUUCCUGGUGUAGCGGUGAAAUGCGUAGAUAUCAGGAGGAACACCGGUGGUGUAGACGGCUUACUGGACCAUGACUGACGCUGAGGCACGAAAGCGUGGGUAGCAAACAGG